AUACGGAGGGUGCAAGCGUUAUUCGGAAUCACUGGGCGUAAAGGACGCGUAGGCGGGUUGGCAAGUCAGAUGUGAAAUCCUACAGCUUAACUGUAGAACUGCAUUUGAAACUGCUAACCUAGAGUAUGGGAGGGGGAGAUGGAAUUAGUGGUGUAGGGGUAAAAUCCGUAGAUAUCACUAGGAAUACCAAAAGCGAAGGCAAUCUUCUGGAACACUACUGACGCUGAGGCGCGAAAGCGUGGGGAGCAAACGGGAUUAGAAACCCUUGUAGUCC
rnacentral:rRNA from 1 species